rnacentral:rRNA from 1 species
GAUGAACGCUGGCGGCGUGCCUAAUACAUGCAGGUCGAGCGAACAGAUAAGGAGCUUGCUCCUUUGACGUUAGCGGCGGACGGGUGAGUAACACGUGGGUAACCUACCUAUAAGACUGGGAUAACUUCGGGAAACCGGAGCUAAUACCGGAUAAUAUUUCGAACCGCAUGGUUCGAUAGUGAAAGAUGGUUUUGCUAUCACUUAUAGAUGGACCCGCGCCGUAUUAGCUAGUUGGUAAGGUAACGGCUUACCAAGGCGACGAUACGUAGCCGACCUGAGAGGGUGAUCGGCCACACUGGAACUGAGACACGGUCCAGACUCCUACGGGAGGCAGCAGUAGGGAAUCUUCCGCAAUGGGCGAAAGCCUGACGGAGCAACGCCGCGUGAGUGAUGAAGGUCUUCGGAUCGUAAAACUCUGUUAUUAGGGAAGAACAUACGUGUAAGUAACUGUGCACGUCUUGACGGUACCUAAUCAGAAAGCCACGGCUAACUACGUG